rnacentral:rRNA from 1 species
UACGUAGGGGGCAAGCGUUGUCCGGAUUCAUUGGGCGUAAAGAGCGUGUAGGCGGCCAGGUAGGUCGGUUGUGAAAACUGGAGGCUCAACCUUCAGAGGUCGACCGAAACCAUCUGGCUAGAGUCCGGGAGAGGAGACUGGAAUUUACGGUGUAGCGGUGAAAUGCGUAGAUAUCGUAAGGAAGACCAGUGGCGAAGGCGGGUCUCUGGACAGUUCCUGACGCUGAGGCACGAAGGCCAGGGGAGCAAACGGG